rnacentral:lncRNA from 1 species
CGCGGCGCUGACGUGUCACCACCCGCGGUGUUCUACUAGUGCAGUAGCCAGGCGCGCUGUGUCCACUGUCCUAGUAGCCGCGGUGCUGACGUGUCACCACCCGCGGUGUUCUACUAGUGCAGUAGCCAGGCGCGCUGUGUCCACUAUCCUAGUAGCCGCGGCGCUGACGUGUCACCACCCGCGGUGUUCUACUAGUGCAGUAGCCAGGCGCGCUGUGUCCACUGUCCUAGUAGCCGCGGCGCUGA